CCUACGGGAGGCAGCAGUGGGGAAUAUUGCGCAAUGGGCGAAAGCCUGACGCAGCGACGCCGCGUGAGGGAUGAAGGUCUUCGGAUCGUAAACCUCUGUCAGCAGGGAAGAACGGUCACUGUGCUAAUCAGCAGUGACUUGACGGUACCUGCAAAGGAAGCACCGGCUAACUCCGUGCCAGCAGCCGCGGUAAUACGGAGGGUGAGAGCGUUACUCGGAAUUACUGGGCGUAAAGCGCUCGUAGGCGGUAUGUCAAGUCAAGGGUGAAAUCCCCGCGCUCAACGUGGGAACUGCCUUUGAAACGGGCAAACUGGAGUGUGUGAGAGGAUAGUGGAAUUCCAGGUGGAGGAGUGAAAUCCGUAGAUAUCUGGAGGAACAUCAGUGGCGAAGGCGACUAUCUGGCACAUAACUGACGCUGAGGAGCGAAAGCGUGGGUAGCAAACAGGAUUAGAUACCCGGGUAGUC
rnacentral:rRNA from 1 species